rnacentral:rRNA from 1 species
AGACGUCUACAUUAGAUACCCGGGUAGUCCCAGCCGUAAACUAUGCGCGUUAGGUGUAUCGGUGACCACGAGUCACCGAGGUGCCGAAGGGAAACCGUGAAACGUGCCGCCUGGGAAGUACGGUCGCAAGGCUGAAACUUAAAGGAAUUGGCGGGGGAGCACCACAACGGGUGGAGCCUGUCGGUUUAAUUGGACUCAACGCCGGGAAGCUCACCGGAUAAGACAGCGGAAUGAUUGCCGGGCUGAAGACUCUGCAUGACUAGCUG